UGUUCUGUUUCAUCUGUAGAGUUGUUCAGACGUAAUGUGUUUGAUUGUCUCAAGAAUUGGAUUCUUUUUGUUGGUAGACUUGUGUGUAAUUACUUAUCUAAGAAAUUAUAUAUCAGUAAGAUAAAUUUCAACAAUUAGAACUAGCAGCGAAUCUAGGUAAAAAGACGAGAACUAAGAAAUGUUGCAAGACAAAGCUAACUAAGCACACUUAGGAUCAGAAAUAAAUAGUAUAAUCUAGAAACAAUUCCAUUUGACACUCAGGGCUAUAGACUAUGUGUCUAAAUACAAGUCAUAUUGGUUGCUUAGACAUACACACGAAAGCAAAAAUACAUUUCCCUACCAAAAAUACGAUUACCUGUGAAAUAUUUCCGAAGAAUCUAAGGUGUUUUUACUCGACUUUUGUGAGAGAGUCGACUAAUAGUGGACGUUUUCGAUUCGUAAUCGAUUAUUCGGGUCGACCUAAAAAGUCGACUCAAGUCGCCUAAAAAUCAAUUUUUGAAAGUCGGUACAAGUCGCUGGUGCGACAUAGCUCGUAUUCCAAGGGAUUGUACGUCUUCAUCGCAUUCGGAUCCAGGUCUCGAAGAAAAAAAAAGACUUUUUCUCUUCAAUUACAAAGAAAAGAAGCAAACAGAACACCGACAAUGAAAUUGAUAAAUACAUCAAGUUCUGCAAGAAUGUUGAUCAACUCUACGAUUUUCCAACAAUCGAAUUGAUUUAUAAACGCUACAACGUAGCCCUUCCUUCUUCAGCGUCAGUUGGAAGGUUAUUCAGCCAAAGAGGCCUCAUAAUUUUACCAAGAAGACUCAAGCUCACUGAUAAACUAUUCGAGACACUCCUUUUUUUAAAGUAAACCACUCUUUUUUUAAAGACUGAUGAACCAUAACCGCAAUAAUCGUUUCAAUGUUUUAAAUCAAUGGGAAAAUUUUUGUUUCUGUAGUGAGCAAUGACUGAGGUUAAGUCAGACUCAAUAUUUUAUUUUAAAAUAAAGAAAAUGAAGCAAUUCAA